UACAGAGGGGGCAAGCGUUGUUUCGGAAUUACUGGGCGUAAAGGGCGCGUAGGCGGCCCGCUAAGUCGAACGUGAAAUCCCCAGGCUCAACCUGGGAACUGCGUCCGAUACUGGCAGGCUUGAAUCCGGGAGAGGGAUGUGGAAUUCCAGGUGUAGCGGUGAAAUGCGUAGAUAUCUGGAGGAACACCGGUGGCGAAGGCGGCAAUCCUGGACCGGUAUUGACGCUGAGGCGCGAAAGCGUGGGGAGCAAACAGGGAUUAAGAAACCC
rnacentral:rRNA from 1 species